rnacentral:tRNA from 1 species
GGGCACGUGGUGGAAUCUGGUAGACACGUACGUCUCAGAAGCGUAUGGGGUAACCCAUGGGAGUUCGAGUCUCCCCGUGCCCA